rnacentral:rRNA from 1 species
AUGCGGGACUCAUCAGAGGCCUCGCAAUUGGAAUGAGCGCACUUUAAAUCGUUCGACGAGGAUCUAUUGGAGGGCAAGUCUGGUGCCAGCAGCCGCGGUAAUUCCAGCUCCAAUAGCGUAUAUUAAAGUUGUUGCAGUUAAAAAGCUCGUAGUUGGAUCUGGGGUUCGGGUCGGCGGUUUGCCGCUUCGGCGGCUACUGCCGUGCUCGACUCUUACUAGCCGGUGCGUCUUGCGGUGCUCUUCAUCGAGUGCCGUAGGAGCCUGGCAUGUUUACUUUGAAAAAAACUAGAGUGCUCAAAGCAGGCGAUUCCGCCUGAAUAGUGUUGCAUGGAAUAAUGGAAUAGGACCUCGGUUCUAUUUUGUUGGUUUUCGGAACUUGAGGUAAUGAUUAAGAGGGACGGUCGGGGGCAUUCGUAUUUCGGUGUUAGAGGUGAAAUUCUUGGAUCGCUGAAAGGCGGACAAAUGCGAAAGCAUCUGCCAAGAACGUCUCCAUUAAUCAAGAACGAAAGUCAGAGGUUCGAAGACGAUCAGACACCGUCCUAGUUCUGACCAUAAACGAUGCCAACUAGCGAUCCGCAGUGGUUGCUAUAAACGGACUCUGCGAGCAGCUUCCGGGAAACCAAAGUGUUUGGGUUCCGGGGGAAGUAUGGUUGCAAAGCUGAAACUUAAAGGAAUUGACGGAAGGGCACCACCAGGAGUGGAGCCUGCGGCUUAAUUUGACCCAACACGGGGAAACUCACCCGGUCCGGACACUGUAAGGAUUGACAGAUCGAGAGCUCUUUCUUGAUUCGGUGGAAUGUGGUGCAUGGCCGUUCUUAGUUGGUGGAGUGAUUUGUCUGGUUAAUUCCGAUAACGAACGAGACUCUAGCCUGCUAACUAGUUGCGCCGUGUUCAUACGCGGCUGUAGACUUCUUAGAGGGACAGGUGGCGUUUAGCCACACGAAAUUGAGCAAUAACAGGUCUGUGAUGCCCUUAGAUGUCCGGGGCCGCACGCGCGCUACACUGAAGGAGUCAGCGUGUGCUAUCCGGGCUCGGAAGAGUUCGGUAACCCGUUGAAACUCCUUCGUGCUUGGGAUUGUGGCUUGUAAUUAUCGCGCAUGAACGAGGAAUUCCCAGUAAGUGCAAGUCAUCAGCUUGCGCUGACUACGUCCCUGCCCUUUGUACACACCGCCCGUCGCUACUACCGAUUGAAUGGUUUAGCAAGGUACUCGGAUUGGUCUCGAUCUUGUACGAAAGUGCGGGAUCUGUGGCCGAGAAGAAGGCCAAACUUGAUCAUUUAGAGGAAGUAAA